rnacentral:ncRNA from 1 species
ACGGGGCCGAGCAACCUCCCGUCCAGGCCUUUGGCAGGCCCAAGCGUUGC